CUUGAUCACUUUUCCUCAAAUCGCCGCGAUGGCUAAUAUACCGGAACCCUAGCGUUCCUCUUACCUCAUACCCAUACGCUCAGAAUUCAUAGAAAUUCCAUAGAAAUUCUUACGGAUACUUCUCGGGAUCUAACACGGAGCCGCGCCCCGCCCCCCGCGCCCUUCGCCGCCCGCCGCGGGUAGAGCCGGAGCCGCCCCGGCCCCCGCGCCCUUCGCCGCCCGCUGCUGGAGCCGCCCCCGCCCGCAGCUGGGGCCGCCGCAGGUCGCGCCGCCGCUGCAGGUCGCGUCGGAGCUGCCCCACAGCUCGAGCCGCCACAGGCUGCGUCGGAGCCGGCCCGCCGCUGGAGCCACUGCUGGAACCGCCCGCCGCGGGAGCCGCGAGCCGCUGGUCGCCAUUGGACUUUUCCACACCUCCACGAGCAAGCGACCCACGCGCACAUCACUCUCCGCUGCACUAGUGAGGAAGUGAUGGUGCACGAGGACGAGCUUCCUGGACAAGAAGAUCUCCGUACUCUUCUCGGUGAUGCAAAGUUGAGCUGCAGAUCGUCUAUAUCGAUUCUGGAGACCGAUUCUUGGUGCUGCUGCAGAUCGUCUACAUUGAUUCUGGACGUCGAUUCUUCAUUUACCCUUCUUAUUACCAUUUGCUAACUUAACCACCUCUCUCUCUCAUGUUGGUUCUGAAGAUCUUUUAUGUGUCAUGUCGACAAGGGCGUUUGAUAAGAGAUCCAAGCAGGCUGCAUGUGAGGUGAAUCAAGGAAGUUGGUAGAAUAUGCAGCCUUGAUAGCAGAGGUUUGUGAAUCUUAUGCCAGGUUUGUUGCCUCCAUGUUAAACACUGAAGAAAUGGGGUUUCAGAUCAGCAAGGCAAGA